AGGACGAACGCUGGCGGCGUGCUUUACACAUGCAAGUCGAACGGUAACAGGCCGCAAGGUGCUGACGAGUGGCGAACGGGUGAGUAAUGCAUCGGAACGUGCCCAGUCGUGGGGGAUAACGCAGCGAAAGCUGUGCUAAUACCGCAUACGAUCUAUGGAUGAAAGCGGGGGACCGAAAGGCCUCGCGCGAUUGGAGCGGCCGAUGUCAGAUUAGCUAGUUGGUGGGGUAAAGGCCCACCAAGGCGACGAUCUGUAGCUGGUCUGAGAGGACGACCAGCCACACUGGGACUGAGACACGGCCCAGACUCCUACGGGAGCAGCAGUAGGAAUAUGGACAA
rnacentral:rRNA from 1 species